UACGUAGGGUGCGAGCGUUGUCCGGAAUUAUUGGGCGUAAAGAGCUCGUAGGCGGUGUGUCGCGUCGGCCGUGAAAACCUGCAGCUUAACUGUGGGCUUGCGGUCGAUACGGGCAUCACUGGAGUUCGGCAGAGGAGACUGGAAUUCCUGGUGUAGCGGUGAAAUGCGCAGAUAUCAGGAGGAACACCGGUGGCGAAGGCGGGUCUCUGGGCCGAAACUGACGCUGAGGAGCGAAAGCGUGGGGAGCAAACAGG
rnacentral:rRNA from 1 species